UACAGAGGGUGCGAGCGUUAAUCGGAAUUACUGGGCGUAAAGCGCGCGUAGGCGGCUUUGCAAGUCGGGUGUGAAAUCCCCAGGCUUAACCUGGGAACUGCAUUCGAGACUGCAUUGCUAGAGUAUGGGAGAGGGAAGUGGAAUUUCCGGUGUAGCGGUGAAAUGCGUAGAUAUCGGAAGGAACAUCAGUGGCGAAAGCGGCUACCUGGACCGGUUCUGACGCUGAUGCGCGAAAGCGUGGGUAGCAAACAGG
rnacentral:rRNA from 1 species